rnacentral:rRNA from 1 species
CACGUAGGGUGCGAGCGUUGUCCGGAAUUAUUGGGCGUAAAGAGCUCAUAGGCGGUGUGUCGCGUCGGCCGUGAAAACCUGCAGCUUAACUGUGGGCUUGCGGUCGAUACGGGCAUCACUGGAGUUCGGCAGGGGAGACUGGAAUUCCUGGUGUAGCGGUGAAAUGCGCAGAUAUCAGGAGGAACACCGGUGGCGAAGGCGGGUCUCGUGGGCCGAUGACU